GCCGGUGCGAAUCCGGCGCUGACCCGCAACCGUGAGCGGCCCACCACCGUCGCCGCGCGAACGCCGUCGUCGUCCGCGCACGGCGGCCAUGGCCGUGAGCCGGA
rnacentral:ncRNA from 2 species